rnacentral:lncRNA from 1 species
AAAUGGCCAUGCCAUGCUGGCUGAGGGCUGUGCCAAUUGGAAAAUGGCCUCCUGAUAGGCUUCAAGCAUUUUACGUGCACAACAAUAAAUGACUUAUCUAGAUUAACAAUCAUUUUAAUUUUCAUGCGCUAAAUCCAAAUUAAGAUAUCAUGUAGAAGGAAAUUUAUGAAAUCCGUUGCUCAAUCUCUAAUUAAAGGAUUUUAACUGGGAAUUUGACUUAGUCGGAAUGAGCUGAAUAUGUAUUUUUUUUCCUCAUGUAAAAAUGUCUGUGCUUUUCUGGCAUUGAGAAAGAGAAUGAUCGGGUAGCAAAAUUAGUUCAAAAUCAAACAACAUCACAUAAUUUUUUCCAAAAAUACUAAUCAAUUAGGGAAAGAAGAAAAACUUAUGUCGUUAUAACUCUGGAGAGCACACGAUAGAAGUACUUGCCCCA